GACGAACGCUGGCGGCGUGCUUAACACAUGCAAGUCGAACGGAAAGGCCCCUUUGGGGGUACUCGAGUGGCGAACGGGUGAGUAACACGUGAGUAACCUGCCCUUGACUUCGGGAUAACGUCAGGAAACUGGGGCUAAUACCGGAUAGGAAUCCUUGCUGCAUGGUGGGGGUUGGAAAGCUUCGGCGGUUUUGGAUGGACUCGCGGCUUAUCAGCUUGUUGGUGGGGUAGUGGCUUACCAAGGCUUUGACGGGUAGCCGGCCUGAGAGGGCGACCGGCCACAUUGGGACUGAGCUACGGCCCAGACUCCUACGGGAGGCAGCAGUGGGGAAUGUUGCACAAUGGGCGGAAGCCUGAUGCAGCAACGCCGCGUGCGGGAUGACGGCCUUCGGGUUGUAAACCGCUUUCAGCAGGGGCGAAGCUUGUGGUGACGGUACCUGAAGAAGAAGCACCGGCUAACUACGUG
rnacentral:rRNA from 1 species